GGAGUAAGAUGUGGAGAUCCUCUUCCUCCCCCAAAAUACAUGAAAAAUGCACAUGGAACAAUUCCUACAGAACACCUACUGAAUGCUGCCAGAAGGCUUCAGACUUCCAAAAAGAGCGGGGGCCAAAACCAAAGCGGAACACCAGGGGCUGUGUGACCAAAGAAGAGGAAAGGAAUUCACUCUGGCAGGAGCGGAUGCAGCAGAUUAAAUCCCUGCAAUUGGCUUAAGACUGUGAGCUUUGGGGGCAACUGUGGACUUUGGAAGCAAGUACGAGUUGGAGUAAGGCCAGAUCUCAGUCGGAGCUGAUCCCACAUCACCAACAUCAGGUCCAGAGACCUUCUGAGAACCUUGCAGCCUGCGGAAAGGAGACCCCAAACCCAGUAAAUUAAACAAAAUGAGAAGACAGAGAAACAUACAGCUGAUGAAGGAGCAUGGUAAAAAC
ensembl:lncRNA